GGAGCUGUAGCUCAGCUGGUUAGAGCGCUUCCCUGUCACGGAAGAGGUCGCGGGUUCGAGUCCCGUCAGCUCCGCCA
rnacentral:tRNA from 2 species